CUGUGGUUCUGCUGCUCCAGCUGAUCCCAAUCCCAAUUCCCCAUUCCCAACUCCCCAAUCGCAUUCCCAGUCCCAUUCCCAAUCCCAUUCCCAAUCNCUGCAUUCUCAGCCUAUUCCUGCAUUCCCAGUCCCCCAGUCCCAAUUCCCAAUCCCCCAGUCCCAAUUCCCACAUCCCCAAUUCCCUCAGUCCAUUUCCCACAUUCCCAAUCCCAGUCCCGCUCUCCCGUACCUGCACCCUGAGCUGCAGGCUGCGGUUCUGCUGCUCCAGCCGCUGCUGCUGCAGCUCCAGCUCCCGCGCUCGCUGCGUCUCCUUCUGCAGCUUGCGGAUGUAAUCCACCGACGCCUUCAGGAUCGUGCCCUUGUUCCAGCGCAUCUCCCUGCGGGACCGGCCGGGAUCACAAUGGGAUCGAUCCGGGAUCACCCCAGGAUCAACCUGGGAUCAACCCGGGACCAACCAGAAUCAAACUGGGACCAAUCCGGGAUCGAUCCGUGAUCAACCCAGAAUCACAUCGGGAUCAACCUAGGAUCAGUCUGGGAUCAACCUGGGAUCAACUCAGCACUGACCCAGGACCAACUUGGAAUCAACUCGGGAUUGAUCUGGGAUCAACCCAGGACCAACUUGGGAUCAACCUGGGAUCAACGCAGAAUCACAUCGGGAUCAACCUUGGAUCAACCCAGGACCAGUCCAGGAUCAACCCAGGACCAACUUGGGAUCGAUCUGGGAUCAACCUGGGAUCAACUCGGGAUUGAUCCAGGGUCAAACCAGGAUCAAAUUGGGAUCAAACCAUGGUCAACCUGGGAUCACAUCCAGGAUCAACACAGGAUUAACCCAGGACCACAUGGGAAUCAGCCUGGGAUCAUAUCGGGAUUGACCUGGGAUCGACCCUGGCAUUACCACAGGAUCAACCCGGGAUCACACUGAGAUCACACCUGGGAUCACCCUGGGAUCAACUCAAGACCAACCUGGGAUCAACCCCAGGAUGAACCUGGGAUCACCUCGGGAUCAAUCUGAGAUCACACCUGGGAUCACAUCAGGAUCAACCCAGGAUCAACUUGGGAUCAACCUGAGAUAAAUUCAGGAUCAAUCUGGGAUCAACCCAGGAUCACAUUGGGAUUAACCAGGGAUCACACCCAGGAUCAACCCAGGACCAACUGGGGAUCAACCCAGGAUCACAUUGGGACUGACCUGGGAUCAACCCGGGAUCGACCUGUGAUAAAUUGAGGAUCAAUCUGGGAUCACACCCAGGAUCAACCUGGGAUCAACCCAGGACCGAGCAAAAAUCACAUUGGGAUCAAUGUGGGAUCACAUCAGAAUCACAUUGGGAUCGACCCAGGAUCACACUGAGAUCACGGCGGGGAUCAACCCGGGACCAACCCAGGAUCACCCCCAGACCACCUCAGGAUCACACCCCCCCCCCCCCCCCCCCCC
rnacentral:lncRNA from 12 species